CUUUGUCUCCAUCUCCCAUGGUCUUUGCUCUGGAACCAGAGAAUGCAAACCCCAUGAACCCUGGUGGGGCAUGGAAGGGUGGGUGGUGCGUGGGCAAGGAGACCAGAGAUCCCUGCUCACAGGUACCUACCUGCUCUCCCUUCCUGCCAACAGCGUCCUACCAGCAAGGGGUCCUGUCUGCCACCAUCCUCUAUGAGAUCCUGCUGGGGAAGGCCACCCUGUAUGCUGUGCUGGUCAGCGCCCUGGUGCUGAUGGCCAUGGUCAAGAGAAAGGAUUCCUGAAGCCAGCUUAGAGGUGGAGCCAGGAGCUUCCAGCCUGUUAUGGCCCUGAUGUGAAUUCUGCUUUUUCCAUUCCUACCCAGUGCUUCAGAAGAGCUGCUCUCAUCUCUCUACGCACCCCAGUAUCUACCCCUGUGUGCAUGCCCCCCAAACACUCAUGACCAAAAUCUCCCUAGCCCAAGGGGGACCCUGGCGGGCCUGAACGGAUUCAACCAAUAAAAAUGGCCUGAUCUGGCUUGA